UCUAAGACCUGGCUACUCAGAGGGUGCCUGGUGGCAGCAGUCGUGUGGCCAGGGAGCUGUCAGACUUGCAGGAUCUCCACCUCACUCCAUCCUCAGACCUACUGAAUCAGAGUCCGCAUUUCAGCCAGAUUCCCAGGGGAGGUGUGCGCACGUGUAAAUUGAGAAGCGCUGCCUUAAGUUUCUCCCGCUCCCCCCCAACGCUCUGACACCAGGAGGGGCUAGGUCUGGAAAGUUCAUUUACGAAGGAGGCUCUGAGUUCGACAGGGCAGGGGCUCAACCGUAGCUGGUAACGGGUACCGGAAUCAAGCACCUUACAGGCACCAGCCACUUAAUCCUCACAGUGAUUCAGCCUGGCGAGCUCUAGGAUGAGACGCAUUUUAUAGACCAGAAAACUAAGCACAGAGAAGUGAAGCAAGUUGUCCAAGUUCAUCCAGUUCAUCUGGCCAGUGAGUGGUGGGGACAGGAAUCCAACUCAGGCAGUGUGACUCACACAGUGUUCCAAUGAAAUAUAUGUAGGAAGGCUUUACAAACUGUAAAGUACUGUCCACCCAGAAAGGACUGUAUCGUGAUCUGAACAGGGGAAGGGGCGGUGGUGGAUGGAGAAGCACACAGGAAGGAGACCGACACACCUACACAAUGAACUACCAACGCGUGCCACGUGGCCCGGGAAGGGCUCCAGGAAGCACGUUUUACUGCAGCGCUCUUAAAAGUUAGAAGUCUUUCACUUCAUUGCCCUUGUACAUACAGGGAGCCCGGCCAAGGGGCCAGAUUGCCGAGCGGGACGGGGAUGUGGAGACCCCUCGUCCACCCCACGUUCCCGAUGGGAACGUCAGCCCGCCGGUGCUUUCUAGCGCUUUCCACGCAGUCCCCCUUGCAUUUCUGUCUGCGCGUCCUCCGCCCCCGCGCCACGCCUCCGGGAGCCGGAUAGAAGGGGGAGCCGCCCGUCCCCUCCCGACGUCCCCCGGGAAGCAGAGGAGGCGGAGGAGGGGCCGCCGCCCGGGUGCCGCCACCGGGGGUCCCCGCAACCCCGAUGCUCGGGUGCCCGUGCCGGAUCCCGGUGGGCCGCCUGCCGGGCGCGCCCGGGGGUGGGAAGGAAGGGGGCGAGUUCUCCUGCCGGGCUGUCUGCCCAGACCCCUCCGGAAGCGGAGCCGGGGCUGGCGGGGAAGGACGCGCCGCCUGGCUGGGGUCCCCCAGGAGUCUUCAGCCUUGGCUGGCGCGAGCCCGGGAGGGAGGGGCGGUCACGGUCACGCCGGGGAGGGACGCCGAUUCCGGAGCACAUCCUCGCCUGCGCGCCCAGAGCGAGGCUGGGAAACCUGGAUUGUUUCCCAUCCGCUCCUGUCCUGGAGCUCGGUAUUUCCCAGCUCUAACCUUUCGCAGCAGCGGGGGUGUUAAACCCAGAGGACUUGCCCCGACGUUUGAAUCCUGGAUCUUCUUUCUGGAGCCUCUGGGGAAGUCGCUUAACCUCUCUGGGCUUCUCAUCCAGAAAUCUACCUCCCAGAGGUUUUGGGAAGCUUGGACAAGCUGCUGUGUGUGGAAAAUGCUUUUAAAACUCUAAAGCUCUGGACAAAUAUAAAGUAUUCUUCCGAUUCUUCAAUUCCUUGAGACGCCAUCUGAGGGGCUGGGGUAAUAGCUACCGUUUCUUAAAGGCUUCCACGUGCUAAGAUGCAGUCACUGCUUUAAUCCUCCCCAUACACCACACGUAGGAGUAGGUAGUAGUAUUAUCCCUUUAGCUUUGUCGUGUGGAUUUGUGUGAUAAUUUGAUUAAUAGCGCUCUCUCCCCAGGGAUGUAACUGCUUUUUCUCACUUGCUACUGUACCUGGCACUUAGGAGGUUCUUGCUAAAUGUUUGCUAAAUCCCUCUCAGUAGAUAGAGGCAGAAGCAGCCUCAGAGAGGCCCGGGAACUUGCCCAGUGUGCCAGGCAGCUUUUGGGCGGCAGAACCGAGAUUCGAAUCCAGAUCCACCUGACUAGAGCCUUGGCCAUCAACCCUGGCGUCAGGUUCUCCAUCUUGCGUCGGCUGGCUGGCAGCUGGACCUGGACCAUCACAGCCCUGCCCGUCUCUGCCUCCAGGGCUCCUGUGGGCCCUGGGUUGAUGCCCACACCCACCCUCCCCUUCUCUCAGGCCUGCUGAGGUGUGCACAGGUCCCCUAUGGAAACCCCCCAAAUACCUCCCCCCAACACACAGAGUUCUGCACAUAAUCCUUCCUAGAGAGAAGAAGGGAGAUAAAGGGAGGAGACCUUUGGAGCUGGUCUUGGACUGGUUAUGGGGGCAGCUGACCAUUGUCAACAAGGCCAAACCCCACCCUAUCCACUGUCCUCUCUCACCUCUUAGUAUCCUGAUUUACUAAGAGGCCUCAGGAUGGGAAAGAAGAAAUAGGACAAAGGAGCCUGGGCUGGGAACUGAGUGUCUGAGCCCCUGUGUGAACCUCGGGGCAACACCCGCUAAAGGGGGUGGCAACUGGCACUGGAAGAACCUUUGUCCCUCAUCAGCUUCCCAGAGGGGUAAGAACUUUGAUCACUGUUAGAAAUGACAGGGCUUCCCUGGUGGCGCAGUGGUUGAGAGUCCGCCUGCCGAUGCAGGGGACAUGGGUUUGUGCCCUGGUCCGGGAAGAUCCUACAUGCCAUGGAGCAGCUGGGACCGUGAGCCAUGGCUACUGAGCCUGUGCGUCCAGAGCCUGUGCUCCGCAACGCGAGAGGCCACAACAGUGAGAGGCCCGCGUACCGCAAAAAAAAAAAAAGAAAUGACAAAGGGGUCAGAAGUAUGGCAAGUUAGCUAUGAAAACGAAAGUGGAAGUUAUGGUUCUCUUUGUUCUGCAAUAGUAUAAAAAUAGCAUAUCUUUUCAUCAAGAUAGGAAAAGACAAAGAAAAAUGGUAAGUACUUUUAUACCGUUUCUGGCCAGGGGGUGUCCAUUCUGCUGGAUCACAUGCACAGUUCCUAUGCAUGCUACCCCCAAGAUGGUUUGAUCCCUUUGUUGGGGAGCCUCCCUCCCCUCUCUGGGCUCAGCUUCGCCAUGGGUAGAAGUAUGGGAUUGGGCUGGGCCUUCUUUCCCUGGGCGAGCUGUUGUCAGAGUUCUUUUCCAAUACGCCACCCUGGCACUCUCUUCUCUCCCUACUCCCUCUUCUGUUGAGAAACCCCGGCCUGGAAUCCGAGGUCCCUUCCAGUUUCAAAGAUUCUUGUCUUGGCCCCAGGUUACACCCUUCUGUCAGCAGGAAGGAACAGUGUGUUGUGUGUUCUGUCCCAAGGCCCUCCGCAGCCUUCCCAAGGCCCUCAGUCCAAAGAUCAGGGCUGUGCUGGGGAAUUUCUCUCUCCCUCUGACAUGCACAGUGCCCCAAGCCUGGAGCUGCGUGGAAGGGAGUUGUGUUUGCAGAGAUUUCUGAGGACCUGUUGGAGAGCCUGAACCUUAGCUGGCUCGAAGAAAGGCUCUCUGACCUUGGGCAAGUCCCUUAAGUUCUCUGAGCUUCAGUUUCCUCAUUUGUAAAACAGAAUAGCCUCACCCCCUGUGAUCAGAAGGCUUCUGAGAAGGUAAAGCGAGAUGCGUAAUGUGUGUUAACCCUUAGCACAGUGCCGGGCACACAGCUGAGGCUCCUUUUGGAGAACCACCAGAAGAGGUUCUGCUGGAGGUGAUGCUGGAGAGAUGACACAGGUGGAGAUAAAACACAGUGCAUCUCAAGGCGCAGUAACUAGAACUGAGCAGCGUGACCGUCCACGUCAGUCCUCCUGGUCCUGAUUCUUCCUCAGGGCCAGCGGGCGCCUCUUCCAGGACCGCAGAGGGAGGAGGCCGGUGCUCAGCUGGCUGCCUCUGUGGUUAAGGAGGAGACCCUCGGCCCCGCCCCGCCCUCUGCACACCCUCGGAGGGAGCAGGGCCGUGAUGGAAUGGUCCGGAGCACCCAGAGAAAUGCAAACAGGAUGUGUGUGUGAUUGCGGUUUCCACCAGGAGCUUUGACACCAUCCGAGAGAUAAACUUCUUUGGGGCUUUCCUCUGUACUACAGAAUCAUAGAACAGUAGACCUGGAAGGGGACUUGGGGAUGAUCUGAUGUGGCCUUUACAUCUUACAGGUGAGCCUAGAGAAGGUAAGAAACUUGCCUAAAGACACACAGCAAGUUAGCAGCAGAAUUGGGCUGAGAACCCAGAUUUCCUUUAUAGGAAGCUAUUUCCUGACUGUUAGGCUGCUUCCUACUGGGUCCUCUUAAUUAUCCUGUGAGGUAGGUAAGGUACACAUUAGCCCAUGGAACAGACGAGGAAAUUAAGACCCAGAGACUAAAUGGCUUGCCAGAAGUCCCCUGGGACCAGUUCAGGCUACGUCACACUGCACUGCAGGGGUGAUGAGUAUGGAGCUGUGCUCGCUCCAGGGAUGGCGUCUGGGUCUGGGUCCAGGUCUGCCUCCCUGGGACUCCCCUUGGCAGAUCCUCUGAAAAUGGGGUCUACAGCUUGCUAGGCUACAGACCAGACCUUUAAUGUGCUCGUUAGUUUUGAUACUUUCAACUUCAGAGGGAAGAGUCAAAGCCCUGAAAAUAGACAAGAUCUGGAUGGAGCCAGUCCCAAAACCAGAUGGGCCUUUGCAUUCACACCUCCCUGGCUUCCUGGGACUGGCUUGACUUUCUCUCUGGGCCCCGACCCACCUCAAUGUCCAGGCCCUUUCUGUCUCCCAUGGGGGCCUGAAGAGACCUGGUGAGGCUCCCAGCCUCUUUGAGGAGCCCAGCAGUGGGACUGGGGGAUUCAGGGAGGGGAAUACCUGGGGCUAGAGUCGUCUUUGCUGAGAGUCCCAGGUGGCGGGGGGUGGGUGAGGGUGGGCAGUGAUGAGGGAUAGUGGAAUGGACUGGCUGAGGAGAUGGGGUGUGGGGACCAUGAAAGAGGGGAGCAGAGAAGUGGAAGGGGUACGGGGGCGGUGGAAAGGGGAGGCUGGAACAGCAGCAAGUUUCUGAGACGGUUGGGGCAGGCGAGAGCAGCGCUGGGCUUUGUUUGUGUUUAUCAGUUCCAGAUGUCACGCUCAGCUGUCACCGAAGGAAGCGUAGGCUUCAAGACCCAGGGCCCACUGCUCACACUGCUUCUCCACCACUGAGUUCAAGGAAAACAUGACAUAGAAGAGUCUGGAAUGGGGGUGGGGACUGCGAGAGGAAUCCUGGCCAGAGGCCAGGGCACCCUGAUUCCGUGAGUGGAGUGGGCACUGGGGAAGCUGGCCCCAGGGGUCUGCAGGGGCCUCGAGUCCUGCCCCUCAGAAAGGGGUGAGUGUGGAUUUGAGAUCACUCAGCCUGAUACUCGGUGUCACGUUUGUGACCCAGGCGACACUCAACUGAGGUUGUCCAUUUAUUUUGUUAUUACCUCCUUUCCUUCUUCCUCUGUCCCAACAGCCUGCUUUUUUAGAGAUUCAUUCGUAAAACAGUCUCCACUUUUUUUCUUCUCUCUUGAUGGGAGUAAGAUAAGAAUGCGGGGAUCUGCUUGUGGCCAGAAGCAACGCUCUGUCUGAAUGGACAGACACUAGUGGCCAGCGGACCCGGGACUGGAGCAUUUGUCCCGCCGCUAGAACUUUGUCCCUGUACCUUCUGUUUAUGGGCUGAACUGUGUCCCCCCCACCAAUUAAUAUGUUGAAAUUCUAACCCCCAGUACUUCUGAAUGUGACUGUAUUUUGAGAUAGGGUCUUUCAAGAGGGGAUUAAAUUAAAAUGAGGCAGUUACGGUGAGCCCUAACCCAAUCUGACUAGUGUCUUCAUAAGAAGAGAUUAGGACACACAGAGAGCCACCAGGGAUGCGCACGCACAGAGGAAAGGCCGUGUGACGACGUGACAAAAAGGCGGCUGUCUGCCAGCCAAAGGGAAACGCCUCGGCAGAAACCAAACCUGCCAUCAUCUUGAUCUUUGACUCCCAGCUUCCAGAACUGUGGGAAAAUAAAUGUCUGUUGUUUAAGCUACCCAGUCUGUGGUAUUUGUUAUGGCGGCCCAAGCAAACUAAGACGCCCCCAACUCCCCAUAUCCGUGCUUAUCACUGAGGAGAGAGAGGGAGCAAGGCCACUGGGGGGUGCUUGGCAAGGCUGACGCAAGGCCAUAGGGACGGCUCUGCAAUUCCUCUAGACUGGAGAGCACAGUCACUUGUCCAUGUGGCAGCUGGGCCCUCUCGUUGCCCAGCCGUGAGCCCCCCCUAACUGCCUGGCCGUGGUGGGUCCCCUUUGUUGCUUAGCCACAGCUCCAGCCAUGGGAGUGCUUGGGAGGCAAGCCCAGCACCUGUAGCGGAUUCCUGCAAGUCCAACCUGCACGUGGAUAUGUCUUUCUGACCCAGCACUCACCCUGACCCUGGGCUGGUUUUAUGACUGAAGUCUGGCACUCUGCACACUUUUUUGUGAGUGAGACUGUAAAAAUCCUGAUGCAUUUUCCAGAAGCACAUCACGCAUGGUGAAAACCCUCAUGCCAGGCGGUGGAGCCACUCUCAGAGAGAAAGUGAGAAAAUGAAUGAGUGAAUGCCAGGCUGCACUAGAGGCUGUUGGCCAGACAAUGAAUGAGCUUUUCCUGUGUACACAUGUUUCAGUAGGUGCUAGGGAGACUGCCCAGGUGAAUCAGAUAGCAUCCCAGCCCUCUAGACACUUCAAUUUUAAGGAAAAAGGCAGCUAUAUGCAUCUAGAACUCUGGAUACGGGCCAACUGUGGUUUGAUUCUAAGAUGGUGAUGUCAGCAAGGUAUGCUCUAUGUGUGAGGGGAGAGAGGUCAUGAAAGGAUUCUUGGACACUCAACAAACUAAGAGUAGAAGGAAAUUAUCUCAAUAUAAUAAAGGCCAUAUAUGAAAAGCCCAUAGCUAACAU